CAGCCGUAAACUAUGCGCGUUAGGUGUAUCGGUGACCACGAGUUACCGAGGUGCCGAAGGGAAACCGUGAAACGUGCCGCCUGGGAAGUACGGUCGCAAGGCUGAAACUUAAAGGAAUUGGCGGGGGAGCACCACAACGGGUGGAGCUUGCGGUUUAAUUGGAUUCAACGCCGGAAAUCUUACCGGGACCGACAGCAACAUGAAGGCCAGGCUGAAGACUUUGCCGGAUUAGCUGAGAGGAGGUGCAUGGCGUAGUCGUGU
rnacentral:rRNA from 1 species